CACAUUAUCGUUGCAAUAAACAGCCUAAUUGCAUUUUUUGUAAAUUACACUCAAAUUAGUGGAAGCGCACUCAGUUGUCGAGCAGAUAUCCUUCCUGCUUCAAGAACCAAAGAGCCCCUUCUGCUGCAUGCUCAGCUGCAUCUUUCUUUUUCGCUUGAGCUUCUCCAUAAGACUCUAUAACUCUUGAUGUUUCUUCAAUCUCUACCAACACCCGGAAAGUAAACUCUUUCAAGUGACUUGGUCCUGUUUCCUUGCAACAUUCAAAUAAAGGAGGUUUCCAG
rnacentral:misc_RNA from 1 species